CCUACGGGUGGCAGCAGUAGGGAAUAUUGCACAAUGGGGGAAACCCUGAUGCAGCGACGCCGCGUGGAGGAAGAAGGUUUUCGGUAUGUAAACUUCUAUCGUCAGGGAAGAAAAUGACGGUAUCUAACGAAUAAGCACCGGCUAACUACGUGCCAGCAGCCGCGGUAAUACGGAGGGUGCAAGCGUUAUCCGGAUUUACUGGGUGUAAAGAGCGCGUAGGCGGGAUAGCAAGUCAGAAGUGAAAGCCCGGGGCUUAACCACGGGACUGCUUUUGAAACUGUUGUACUAGAGUGCAGGAGAGGUAGGUGGAAUUCUUAGUGUAGCGGUGAAAUGCGUAGAUAUCAGGAGGAAUACUCGUGGCGAAGGCGGCCUACUGGAACGUAACUGACGCUGAGGCUCGAAAGCGUGGGGAGCAAACAGGAUUAGAUACCCGUGUAGUC
rnacentral:rRNA from 1 species